GACGAACGCUGGCGGCGUGCCUAAUACAUGCAAGUAGAACGCUGAAGAGAGGAGCUUGCUCUUCUUGGAUGAGUUGCGAACGGGUGAGUAACGCGUAGGUAACCUGCCUUGUAGCGGGGGAUAACUAUUGGAAACGAUAGCUAAUACCGCAUAACAAUGGAUGACACAUGUCAUUUAUUUGAAAGGGGCAAUUGCUCCACUACAAGAUGGACCUGCGUUGUAUUAGCUAGUAGGUGAGGUAACGGCUCACCUAGGCGACGAUACGUAGCCGACCUGAGAGGGUGAUCGGCCACACUGGGACUGAGACACGGCCCAGACUCCUACGGGAGGCAGCAGUAGGGAAUCUUCGGCAAUGGGGGCAACCCUGACCGAGCAACGCCGCGUGAGUGAAGAAGGUUUUCGGAUCGUAAAGCUCUGUUGUAAGUCAAGAACGAGUGUGAGAGUGGAAAGUUCACACUGUGACGGUAGCUUACCAGAAAGGGACGGCUAACUACGUGCCAGCAGCCGCGGUAAUACGUAGGUCCCGAGCGUUGUCCGGAUUUAUUGGGCGUAAAGCGAGCGCAGGCGGUUUGAUAAGUCUGAAGUUAAAGGCUGUGGCUCAACCAUAGUUCGCUUUGGAAACUGUCAAACUUGAGUGCAGAAGGGGAGAGUGGAAUUCCAUGUGUAGCGGUGAAAUGCGUAGAUAUAUGGAGGAACACCGGUGGCGAAAGCGGCUCUCUGGUCUGUAACUGACGCUGAGGCUCGAAAGCGUGGGGAGCGAACAGGAUUAGAUACCCUGGUAGUCCACGCCGUAAACGAUGAGUGCUAGGUGUUGGAUCCUUUCCGGGAUUCAGUGCCGCAGCUAACGCAUUAAGCACUCCGCCUGGGGAGUACGACCGCAAGGUUGAAACUCAAAGGAAUUGACGGGGGCCCGCACAAGCGGUGGAGCAUGUGGUUUAAUUCGAAGCAACGCGAAGAACCUUACCAGGUCUUGACAUCCCGAUGCUAUUUCUAGAGAUAGAAAGUUACUUCGGUACAUCGGUGACAGGUGGUGCAUGGUUGUCGUCAGCUCGUGUCGUGAGAUGUUGGGUUAAGUCCCGCAACGAGCGCAACCCCUAUUGUUAGUUGCCAUCAUUCAGUUGGGCACUCUAGCGAGACUGCCGGUAAUAAACCGGAGGAAGGUGGGGAUGACGUCAAAUCAUCAUGCCCCUUAUGACCUGGGCUACACACGUGCUACAAUGGUUGGUACAACGAGUUGCGAGUCGGUGACGGCAAGCUAAUCUCUUAAAGCCAAUCUCAGUUCGGAUUGUAGGCUGCAACUCGCCUACAUGAAGUCGGAAUCGCUAGUAAUCGCGGAUCAGCACGCCGCGGUGAAUACGUUCCCGGGCCU
rnacentral:rRNA from 1 species